rnacentral:lncRNA from 1 species
AAAAACAAAAAACGCGUUUUUUUCCGAAAGGCACGGCUGUGACUCUCGCUAAAGCACAACCGUGCCUCUUGCAGAAGAAAAACCGUGACUUUUCAUGAAAGAAAAAAAUAAACGCGUUUUUCGCGCAAAAAAAUUUUUUUUUUGGGUCGAAACGCUAACGAAGAUCGGGGGAAAACCAAAACGUCAAAAAAACCCGGAAAAAAACCGUUUAAAAAGCCGAAAACGCGUGCAGAAAAAUAAUAAAAUAAAAUCUGGAAGGAGCGUACAGAGCGCAACACGUGGCGAAUGACUGAGAGCAUGCCAAAUGGCGCUGAUCAUUGCGAGGCGCCCGAAGGAGCGCUCAUUAACUAGUUGCUCUCGGAUUUUUAUCAUGCUCCAUUUUGAAUAUCCGGGUCACUAAGCAUUACGUGGAACAUGAUGAGCCCAAAUACAAAACUACCAUAAACUGCAUACGAUUCCAGUUCAUCAAUAUCUUGUGUACCUCGACAAAAGCACCCAAAAGAAAACCACGAGAGCGGUGCAGAUAAAUAAUUGGUAGCUACACAACCUCUACUUACAUAAGCGGAAGUCACAAAUACAAGAACAAAGAUCAAACCAGGGGAAAUAUCACAGUAAUUUACUGGCAGAGAUUGGUCUAGAUAUCACGACGGGGAUACUUUGCAAGUGCCUACUUCUGCGAGUCGGAAGAUUCCUCCUCUUUUUUUGUCUGCGAGUCGGAGGGUUCCUCCUCAAGUGCCUUCUGGAUGUCUUUCUGCAAAUUUGAGACCAAUGCAUAAGAAAAUACUGCAUGAUAUGUGUGUGUGUGUGUGUGUGUGUGUGUGUGUGUGUGUGAGAGAGAGAGAGAGAGAGAGAGAGAGACCUCGAAUGAAAAUGGAGUGGUAGCAGUUGCGUAUCUGUUGAUUACUUUUCCAUUCUUGUCAACAAGAAACUUGGUAAAGUUCCACUUGAUUCUUGAACCAAACAAACCAGGUUUGCUAGCUUUCAGAAACUUGUAAAGCGGCGCAGCAUCUGGGCCAUUUACACGCACCUGCAAUUUUCAAGUACAAGACUGACCCAGCUUUACAGAUAAACAACAGUCCUGUAAUUUCUAAUUUGUACCCAUGUUUAUGUGAUGGCCAUGAACAGUACACCAUACCAAAAACUCUGACCCCACCUAAUGUAUCCAAACUGAAAUUGUUGCAAAGAAAAGAAAGUGUAUACUUGUAUGGAAGCAACAAAACAGGGCGUGUUUGGUAGCCCGCAUAGAGGCCAACCAGGUCCGCGCAGGAAGAACAUAGGUUGUUUGGUUGCCUGCGUUCACUGUUGGGCCUGCAUCGCACAAAACUUAAAGCAGCUCCCAGGCAGUUCCUAGCGGAACUGGCGAAUCGGCGGUUUCCAACCAGCCAAGCUCAACCAAGCUGAGUUGAGCCACAUCGAGCACAUGGUGGGCCCCUUUGCAUGAGAGUAUACGAGUACGAUGCUAGCUAGUAUACAGCCUGUACUUGCUAUCUUCUCCCACCUCCGGUAAGCUCCUCUCUAAUCUCCUUUCUUCCCCAUCCUUUCUAAUGUACACAACGGUGCUUCGAUUCGAGAUAACAUCUACACAAAAAAAGAUGCACAUCGAUGUUAUGGUUCCAUUCAGGCGAUCAGUUCGUAGUUUCCUCGGCCGUAAAUGCUUGAUUCAUGUUCAUGUUUUGAGCUAUUUUGGACGAAUUUUGUCAAAUUUGUCGCGCACGGUCGACCGUUUGAUAUUUCCUUUGACCAGUAGCUUCAUCUCGCUGUUUCACCCGACUUUUGUGUUGCAUAUUUUCUGUUAAGACGAUCGUAGACAAGUAGAUCUACAUCUUCCUCAUGAACUGUACAGAUGCAUAUGUGUGAUAUGUUUUAAUGGCACUCCUUAAUCUCCUUCAUUUCUUCUAAUCCUCCUCUCCUGCGUCCUACUACACUGGCACCACCGCCGACGUUGUUCCUCUCUACCUCCUCUCCCGCGCCUUGCUGCACUGUCACCACCACCAGCGUGGUUCCUCUCGGCCUCCUCACCCGCAUCAUACAACACUGACGCCAUUAUCGGCGUUGUUCCUCUCGUCCUCCUCGCGGUGUCCUACUAAACUGGUGCCAUCCCCGGCGUCGUUCCUUUCGGCCUCCUCUCCCUCGUCCUACUACACUGAUGCUGCCAUGGCGUGCACACUGCAAUUUUUCUCCUCUGUCAUCUGCCGCAGCGCCUUUCUAUUCCUCCCUCCGCGCGGACUUCCUCUGUGGCGACGUCGGAAGCAACUAGUUCACCGCGCUGCCGUCGGACGCGAUGGACUAGUUGCUUCCGUCGUCACCACCACCGUCCACCGCAGUCGCCAUGGCACUGUGUAACUCUGUGUGUUAUGUGUAGUUGUUAACUCUUAAUCAUAUCCCGUGUAUAGAACCAAACACCGUGUAGUUGCAUGUGCCGAGCCAGUCCAGGACACCAAACGCCAUGCCAAAAUUGAUCCCCUAAUACAGGAAGCCUAGUAGCCUAGAUGCGGGCAACCAAACGAUGUGCAGAUAUUGGUUUAUUUUUGCCAGUUUUUGCUCAGCCAGACUCAACUGGGCCAAGCAUGCAAUGCAGGCAAAUUCGCAGAUGACAACCAAACACGCCCACAGUGCAUAUCUAUGUUGACAUUUGUUUCUACCACGUAAACUCGUGUCAAACUUGCGAUAUGUUUUAAAACAUAAGGCAUGAUAUUUUCCCUCCAAUGCUGUUUUGAUUUUAUCGUCUAGAAACCAUGCUGAACAAGAAAUAGCCAAUGCUCUAGCUAUGAAGAGAAAGUGACUUCAACUAAGCUUCAUUAGUGGGAAAAUAUUAGACGCUUCUUGACAAACAGUUUGGGUAUGGUCUUACCUUCUGAAAAACUGGAUACUCAGCUUUGAAUCUUGUGCAUGCAAAGUCUUGGAUCUGCUGGUCACUGCCUGGCUCUUGUCGCAAAAACUGGUUGCAGGGGAAUGCUAAUAUCUCAAAGUCUGGCCAUUUUAGAAGCAAGAGGAGUUAGUUUUCACCCUACCUAACAUCUAAAUCAUUAUAUAAUUUAGCAUCAAAGAGGCAAUCUAUGGGUUACUUCCAUACUGAUAUCACGCAUAAUAAGAUUUUAUGGCAGUGCAUAAAUGAGCUUACUACUGCUAAACGCAUGAUUAACAAUCUGUCAUUAUAAUUUUCUUCUAAUCCAGUGUCCAUUAAGUUCUAGAAGAUUUAUUUUUCCAUAAAGUGUCCACACUUAUAUCUCACAACAAAUGCUUGGCACGCUAAAUCCUUCAAGGACUGAAGCUAGUACAAUGGCAGAAAUUCAAAACAUUUCAUAGAUAAAAAGAUGAGAAGUCCCAUUAGGCAAUGGGCAAUGCGCCAAUGCCAUAGAAAAAAAUAUGGUUGUUGACCAGUGUUGCGAGGAUCUCAUGGCAAUAUUCAUUAUUUGGGGAUUUAGGUACGGGAUUUCACACAUUGGAGGUUUAACCUAGGUUCAGGCCCCUUGUUCUAGGGGUAACACCCUAAUCCAGCUUGGAUGUUUUCUCUCUUGUAUGAGCCGAAUGAUUAAAGAAGAUUUGUCUAGCCUUUUUCUAAGAAGGAUUUUUGUAAUUCUGGAUUAAGAGUACUUGGCAUUCGAUCACAGAAGCCGUUGACAGCAGCAUAAAUCACAAGAAUUUGUUUUUCAAUUGGAAGUGGUUCAUAUUGUGGUUGUUUGGGCACUUCUGUAAGCCUUGCACCUCUAUUGAGUAAUGCCUGAGUAGUGACUCACAAGGUAAGUUCUCCUCGAUGCAUUUCCAACACUCUCUUUUUCUACGUACACUUUUGAUUCCUCAGUAGGUAGGGACAACGUUCGAGAUCUCAUCCGACCGUCUAUUUCUCACUGAUUGGGAGAUUGGAGUGAGACAGAGGAGAGUGGAAUUUCUUGUGUAGGGGUGAAAUCCGUAGAUCUACGAAGGAACGCCAAAAGCGAAGGCAGCUCUCUGGGUCCCUACCGAUGCUGGGGUGCGAAAGCAUGGGGAGCGAACAGGAUUAGGUACGCUGGUAGUCCAUGCCGUAAACGAGAAAGCAAUCCGCAUAGCCGGAGUCCAGUUGGAUAGUUCAAGCUACGAAAGAAGACAUGAUGCCAUUUCUCUUAUCGAUACAGGAAAAUGAGCUAUUAGUAGAAACUACCUGGAAUUGCCGUGAACCAUCCGAGAGUAACCGCGCACCCAUAUCGAGAGUUGAUGGUUGACCGCCGCCCCCCUUGUCCUACCCCGGCCGGGGAGGCAAAGAGGAUUGCUAUCGUCACCCUUCCUCCCGGUGUAUGUGAAAGAGAAAAAGUGACGCACUUUUUGGAUUUUUGGUCUGCGGUUGGUUGGGCCAAAGAACGAGAGUCAGCUUCCUUAAGUUCGUUCUUCCUCAGUAGCUCAGUGGUAGAGCGGUGGGAUUUAUGUUUAUACCAAAGCCUCUACUUUAGAUAUUUAUGCUGAUGAAGGAAAGCCUUGUUAAAGACUACUACUUUUGACUUCCUUUUUCGUACUCUUCUUUCAUCCUCCUUACCAGAACGCUUUUCCUGGUUCAGAAGAAUAAGAUACUGAAAUUGUGGCUUACAUAUAGAAAAUGCCUUCGUCUUGAAGCUACCAAUGCACAUCACGGUGAAAUCAUUGUCAAUUAUCUAUGUCUCGCACUCUUCUCACCUUAUAUACUACGAUGAGAAGGUGGAGAUACAAGGGUUGUUAAGAGCCAUGAUGUAAUAACAGCCAUAAUGGUGGCUGUUACUGGUGGAAUUACCAUGUCGCCAAAAGAGCCAUCUUGACGGUGCGGCGGGUAACGUUCAUCUUGAUUGAUUGUGUCUUGGUCCAGUAAAAUGAACAUUGCGGUGCCUUAGCUGGAUGGGCUUCGUGAGAUUCAAUAGGAUGAGCUUUAUCCAUGCCGGACCAGCUGAGUGAUUCUUCUGAUGAAGACUGCCCUGCUGGGUCGAAUCCUUGUCAUGGGCCUACCCUGAGGGAUCCCGCCGUCAGUAGCCACCAAGUCCUUCAAGGUAUCGAGGAUGGCGCCUACUCCUCGGAAGAGGAAGGUUCCUGUGGGGAAACCGACUGUGAUCAUCAUCGGGUCACCCGAAGAGGUUAGAGGCUGGCAGUUUAUAACAGACUUAGUGAUACCCAAUACACUCAGCAGGGAGCUUGGCUUGUGGCCGUUUGGCUUGUGGCUUAUUAGGAAGCAUAUGAUAAAUUCCGAGUGAUCUCGAGGAACGCACGGGUUUAUCCAAGUAGGCCAUUGCCAGCUUUGGACCUGAGGAGGCGCACUCCCUUCUAUUUUCAUCUUCAAAAGUAAGUCAACGGACUUGGGCAUUUGGUUAGGAAACCAACUUGUGCCAUUGAGGAUGUCAAGUCCGUACUUUGCAUUGGCAUUGCCGAGUGAUCUAGAACUCGCAGGAGUCGAUAUCGACGCCUUUUCCUCGAGAGCGGCGAUUGCCCGAUUGAAUGGUUCAGCGCGGUGCCAAAUGAUGUUGUUGAACUGCGUGGAGGGUAGUGAAUCCCGGCCUGGUUCGUCAAUUGUGUGUCACGCCACCUGGUCUGGUCAAGUUUUUAGUCCAAGCAACUUUCAGACUGCAUGACCGUUCAUAGUCGUCAGAUGGAGUCUUGACCGUAGUCUCCCAUCGACUGCGCGCAUUUAGUGCGAGCCAUCGAGUGGGUCGAUCUCAGAGGUGUUGUCCCGGGGUGAACGCUUCGGAUUCCGCGCAAGGCGUGCACAGUGUGAACUGCUGCUGCGAAGAAUGGUUGUCGCCUCUUCCCUGCCAGCCGGCUAGCAGGCUGGCAAAGGGGUGACGGGACAACAUCAUCGGCAGAUGAGGAGUGACGGGUGCGGUAUGCUUCCAUCGGGAUGAUGGCCCCAAAGGAUCAGUGUCAGUAGGGGAAGCCUUGCGAGGAGGCGGCACCAGAUGCACAGGCAGACAAACGCGUACAUCGCACGCGUACAUCACACGCUCUUCUUUUACGGCAUUCAACUGCAUCAUCUGAACCCAAAUGGGAUAUUGCAAAUUGCUUGUUUUAUCACCUUGUGUGAGCGCUUCCUGGGCACCAAACCACGCUGGGCUUUGUGGAAGCGAAUCUUCGUGGCGGAACCCCGGACUGUGAAGGCAGGUGGGGCGAUGUCUUCUUACGGUGGUGCUGGAAUCCGACUUGUGUUCAGGGAAAGAUAUGUUUGGAUUCCUUAAAACUCAUAAACUUUAGCAAUCCAAUUAGUUCUAUAUCCAAGAUAUCCCCACACUGUCUGGCAAUGAGGGUCUUCCUCCAUACGCCAAUGGUCCUCCAGCAGACUCGGAUGGAUGGAAACCUCAACUCAUUGAGAAGGGGGCGAAGGAAUCCAAUCUCCUAACGGGAGACUGCAGGUCGUCAAGGAUCUGGGGCUCACUGGACCCGAUCUGAUCGCCACCUGGGUAAAUCGACGUAUCCAACCACUUCAGGCGAAAGCGCGCCCCAAGUGGUGUUAUUAGGGUGCUGAUGAUCCUACCCAAGUCUCUCCCAAGGAAUACACGGACGCCGACUACAGUAACUGGAUGGAUAAUUUGACCAAAGGGAAGUUCCGCCGCGAGGUGCUUGUGCCUGCAUUCGAUGCCGACAAUCAGCCUCCCACUAUAAGUUGUUGCAGACUCUUGAGUAACGUGCUAUUCUUGCCACUGCUCCGUGUUUGACCCAGAUCUUUGUUUUUUUCAUGAUUUUUUGGAAUUUCAUUAUAUGCCGCCUCUCCCCGAAGAUGGUCCGGAUGCGCAUGUCCCUCCGUAGAAAUGCAGUCCUUUCUCGUGCACGGGCCAACCGCCAACUGUUGCUCUUGUCAACCGGACAGUUAGGUUGCGACUAUAGUUGGGACAAAGAGUGGGCCUUUUAUAUGGCAUGCAGUUACUUGACUUAUGCAAAGAAUAAAUUCAGGAGAGAGCUUGUGCAUUCCCUCCUUGUUCUGGAUCAGCCGGAGAACUAGAUCACCCUCCUUGAACGCUCGACCUCGUACUCGGCGGCUAUGAUAGCGGCCUCGUACUCGGCGGCUAUGAUAGCGGCACGAGUUUUGUUGGUAUAUGGCCUAGUGACAGUGAGCGAGUUCUCGGGCAUCCUCCAGAAGGUCGACGGCAUCUUGGCGCGCAGACUCGGAAUCCACCUCCACGUACGCCACGACUAGAGGGGAGUCAUGAAUGAUGUCACUCAGCAUGGUGGCUUUUGCUCCAUAGACCAUAAAGAACAACGUGCAGCCGGUUGAUCUGUUUGGAGUCGUCCAUAAGCUCCAUAGGAAAGGCGGUAGCUCGUCAAGCCAGCAGCUAAGAGUCUCUUUCAAGAGUCUUAGCAGCCGGGGCUUGAUACCUUGAAGGAUGAGACCGGUGGAGAGCUCCACUUGUCCAUUGCACUGGGGUGCGCUACUGAGACAUAAUCCAGUCGGAGGCCGUGAUGUUGCAAAAGCAGCGAAAAAGUCUGAAAGUGAAGUUCUUCCCAUUGUCGGUGAUGAUGAUGUGCGAGAUGCCGAACAGAUAGAUGAGGCCUUUGAUAAUGCUGACAACUGACUGGCCAUAUUGCUUGAUGAUAGGUUUGACUUUGAUCCACUUCGUGAACUUGUCCACCGCGACAAGCAGAUGAGUGCAUCCACCUUUGGCAGUAUUGAGCGGGCCCACCAUAUCAAGUCCCCACACGGCAUGGCCAUGUGAUAGGGAUGGUUUUGAGGGAUGUACCCAGCAUGUGUGGCUCCAUGCUUAAAUGCUUUGGCGACAAGGGCGCACGAUGACACAUGAUGACUGCAGGUUCGAGAGUGAAUUUCCUCAAGAAUUUGUCGCCCUUCUUCUGGAGACAUGCAACGUUGGAAGACUCCAAUGAUGUUGCCGUUGUAAAGCUCGCCAUUGAUGAUGGUGUAUGUCUCGGCAUGGAGGAUGAUUUUCCGAGCUAUGUCUCAUCAGCCGACAACUCCCUUCGGAUUAAGUAAACCAAGUACGGUUGUAUCCAAGCUGGAAAGAUGGGGAGGUCGGCCUUAGCGUCUGGCUGAAUGGGUUCUUGUUCGAGCUCGGCCUUCGUCUUUGUUUUGAUGAAUGGUUUACAUAGUUGCUCCAGAAAAACACCAGAAGGAAUGGGCUCUAUGGUGGAGCAAAUCUUCGUGAGUGUAUCAGCUGCUUCGUUCUACUCCUGACGAACAUGAUGAAGCUCCAAGCCCUUUAACUUUUUUUCGAGCUUGCGACUUCCUCCCGAUAUACGAUCAUGGAAGGAUCCUUGGCAUCACCAUCCUUCAUGACUUGCUGUACCACAAGAUCUGAAUCUUCGCCGCAAAGCAGCCCACGGAAGCCAUACAACGAUCCACAGGCCAUGCAACAAGGCUUCAUACUCCACAAUGUUGUUAGAUGCAGCAAAGUGAAUAUGCAGUACAUAUCUGAGCUUGUCGCCUUCGAGAAAAAUAAGGAUGACCCCAGCCCCCGAGCCUCUAAGCAUCUUGGAUCUGUCAAGUACAUGAUCCAUUGUUCAGACUGCACCUAAGAAGGGACUGGGUUUCCAUCCAUUCAACCAAGAAAUCAGCCAAGGCCUGAGAUUUGAUGGCCUUGUGUGCCUCAUAGUUGAUGUCGUGAGCCGCGAUCUCAAUGGCCCAUUUGGCCACUCAACAGUGGCAUCCUAUUGCCGAUGGUUUCUAACAAGGGCGCGCUACUGACCACCGUGACCGUGUGGGCUUGAAAGUAGUGGAGCAGUUUCCUGGACAUCAUAAAGCCGCCAUAAACAAGCUUUUGGUAAUGGGGAUGUUGUUGCUUGGAGCCGAAGAGAACCUCGCUUACAUAGUAAACGAAUCGCUGGACCUUCUGCACCUUGCCUUGUUCUGCGUGCUCCACCACCAAGACAACGAUGACCAUGUUGAAGUGUAUAUUUGGAUUGCCUAGCCCUUUCCAUCAGUUCGGACUUUUGGUUGCGUUGGCUAGUGCAUGAAGCUUUAAAUGGUAUCAGGGCUAAGGUCCUAAGUUCAAGUCCUGGCUUCGCAAUUUAUCCAAAAGUCGUUGCCGCCCCCGUUGUGUCCAUGUAUAGGCCUCUUGAGCCAUACCUCUGAGUCUAUUCAUGUGUUGACUUCUCGCAUCACACUGAGAGGGCGUCUUGAAGUGUAUAUGUAGACUGCCUAGCCCUUUCCAUCACUUCGGACUUUUGGUUGCAUCGGUUAGUACAUGAAGCUUAACAGCACUUGCUGGCAGCAACAAUGUAGAGCAGCAAGGGCUCCCUUAUAGCCGAAGCGGCUAUAAUGGUGUGCACAACGAAUGCUUGAGGUCUCCAAAGGUCAGCUGGGCCUCAUUAGUCCACUCAGGAAUCGGACUUCUUCAGAAGUGGAUAGAGUGGCACGCCCUUUUCCUCAGCCUAGAGAUGAACCGGACAAGAGUGGCAAUGCACCCAGUCAGUUGCUGCACAUCCUUCAGAUUUUUGGCUUGGACAUCUUCAAAAUAGCGUUGAUCUUCUUCGGGUUUACCUCAACUCCGCACCCGAAGACAACGAAAUAAAGGAGUUUUACCAAAGACACAUUUCUCCGUUGAGCUUCAUGUUAAUCCACCUUAGAUUGGCGAACGUCUCAGCCAAGUCGGCCAGGAGAUCGUCUCCAUGUUUGGACUUGACCACGAUGUCGUCGAUGUAGACGUAGAGACAUUCCUGCUGAUCUGGUCGUGCAAGCAUUUCUGCAUGCAACACUGGUAAGUGGACCUAGCAUUUUUCAGAAAAAAAGACAUGGAAACAUAGCAGUAUGGCCCGAAGGGCAUAAUGAAGGAGGUCUUCUCUUCAUCCGACUCAUUCAUCUUUAUCUGGUGGUAGCCUGAAUAGGCAUCCAGAAAAAACACAGAGCAAGAUUCUUGGGGCAUGCUUUGUUGAUCGGUCGAUAGUCGAUGCACAUGUGGGUGGAUUUCUUCGCCACCAUGUCUGGGUUUGCCUGCCACUCCGUGUGGAGGACCUCUCGGAUGAAGCCGAGUAGCCGGGCGAUUUCUUCACUGAUGGCCUUGCGCUUCAGUGAAGAGCCUGCUUGAAUGCUUCGCGCCCUUGAUACCAUUGAGUUUGUGCUCGGGGAAGUCCCUUGCAACGUCUGGCAUGUCAGCCGGCUUCCAAACAAAGAUGUCACAAUUCUUGUGAAGUGCGCUCUUUCCUCCUACCUCCAUCCAAAAUUAACUGUCACUGAGAUGAGUGCAUCUAGACGCGUUUUAGUGUGUAGAUUCACUCAUUUCAGCGAUAGUUAAUUCCCGGACAGAGGGAGAACAUCGGUGGCGAUCUGCACGGUCUUGGAUAAAUCUUCCAGGCCCACUUGCACUUUCUUGGUGUCCUUGGCUGAUUGGAAGGAGAAGACUAUUGGAUUUUUGCCGGCUGGCAUCUGUUCCGCGUCAACCUCCUUCUGGAUCUUGGCCAACUCUACAGCAGCAAUCAGGGUCUCAACGAUAGGCGUGUCGGCGUCAUCGCACUCAUUGGAGUGCUUGGGGUCGCCAGAGAUCGUGAUCACUCCGUUGGUGCCCGACAUCUUGAGCUUGCGGUAGACAUACCAGGGCCUAGCCACGAACUUGGCAUCGGCAGGGCGCCCCAAGAUGACCCCAAGAUGACGUGAUAGGCACUCCGGAAAUUGAGAACUUCAAAGCAGAGGGUCUCGACCCCGAAAAUUAUUCUCUUUGCUGAAGACAACUUCCAGUGAGAUUCGACCCAUUGGCCGAGCAGCCUUGCCUGGCACAAUUCUGUGGAAUUGUAUGUUGCUAGGCGACAACUAAGACUCGGGGAUGCCCAUGCACCUAAGGGUUGCGGCGUAGAGGAUGUCGAUGUUGCUUCCCCCAUCCAUGAGCACCUUUUGCAGCCGGAACCAGCCAACUUGCGGAUCCAUGACCAGGUAAGGAAUGUGAGUUGGGUGAUCGCUACAAUCAAAUCCGAUCGACACCUCCGAUGAGUUCAGCCAUUGUGUAAUGGUUGGCAUGGUCACGUUGACCUCGUGGGAGCGAAGCUUGUGAUUUCGCUUGAUGUCCAACCCCUGGAAGAUGGUUACAUCUCGCCUGCGGCCUGACCAUGGUUCUCGUCGUCGCUGUUGUUGCUGUUGGCAACUGAUUUCUCCGACCGGAGGCGCUUCACUGUGUUGCAAUCCCUAGUGGAGUGCAUGGAUAACCUCUCCUUCGUGUCGUGAAACUUGCAGGGCUGAUCAAGGAUCUCAUCAAAUGGCAGCUUCCGAUAUUUGCAUUGCUGCCACUGACGACUUGGCGGCCGAUAGCCGCUGCACGGCCCAUCGUGUUCCGCCACGGCAACCAGCUCUACUCCGCUGACGCUGUCACCACCAUCCCCCUUCCACUUUUGGUUGUUGUUCCUUCGAUUGAAGUCAGGACGAUUUUUCUAUCGAGAGGACUCGGCUUUAGGUUUGCCUUUGCCCUAAGCAGUCAGAUCUAAUGGGGGAGUGGGUUUUUUCCCGAAGGAAUAUCUAUUGGCAGUCUCUAUUAGUCGACUCAUGGUCAACACGUCCGUGCGACCAAGUUUCUGCCUCAGGAGCUCGUACCUAACUCCAUAUUUGAGACCUGGAUAGCUUAAGGCUCAACGACGUUCUCAAUGGAGUUUUGGAGCCGAUUCCAGCAAUUGAUGUAUUCACAAACCGACUCACCUUCCUUCUUUACAUAGUUCCAUAGGUCCCGUGCAAGCCGGGUCUAACGGAUGUCCCUCAAAAAAAUUGAGAAACACAUCACAUAGAUCAGCCCAGACUCCUAGUCAUGAAUGUUGUCUUCGGGCAAGCUAUUUAACCAUGCCUAUCCUGAUCCCUCCAAAAUCAAGGGAAGGUUGCAGAUGGCGAUGCGCUCGUUGCCUCCGCCGAUAUUGCAGGCCACAACAUAGUCGGUCAGCCAAAAGUCGGGCUUGGCGGUACCAUCAUACUUGUUGAUUCCAUUAGCGAUCCGCCGUUCUAGGAAAGGUUCAGUCUGUAUGCACCAACUGCAACACAAAGGACCGAGUGAACCUGACCCAGUGGGACGAUCGGCUUUGCCACGACGCUCGGAUCGCUCCUUUGACGCACAGAUAGCCUCAAUGUCAUCCCAUGCGUCGCAGGCUCCUGAUAUCCGCUCCAGAGAGGGGCUGAGUCGGCGUUGCUCGGCGCGGAUUCGAUUGAUGUCGUCUUGCGCGAUGGGGCACCGAUUGGUGGAUCAACUCGGACAAGACGACUACAUGGUGAUGGGGCAGUUACGAGCCCCCAAAGGUUAGCACCGGAUUGACUUUGAAGCCAGUCGGCCUUGCGGUGAAGUGGCUAUAUAUUGUUAUUCCACCGCAGUCUUGAACAGCGUGGCGAGUUGGAUGUGGUCCUCUGCCGAUGAUCAACUAGUGGGUCAAGCCAGCUUGUUGGCCAAUGCCGCGACAGUCAGCAGGUUCAUGGCCGGAGUACGAUGUACUCGAACGCCCUUCAAACCUUGGCUCACCUGUGUGCUGCAUGCAACACGAGCCAUAUGUGUAGUCAAGGCAGAUUGCUGAGGAGAACAGUGUGUGUUCCAUGUUCUAGCCGCCUGAAGCUCAAGCUCUCGCGCCUCAAGAUCCCACUUCACUUGGGUCAGGCACUUCUGCUCCUUCAGGAUGGCCACCCGAGAUUCCUCGAAGGCGACGGCCUUAGGGACGUUCCCCUGACUUGUGCAGAAGUGUGUCAUCUUCUGUUCGUGUGGGCGCAUCAAUAGCGGCCGCACCAUUGUUAGCCAUGUACACAUAUGUCACAGAAGCAGAGUUGUACAAACUUUCAUACACUACGGACUCAGAAUCCAGUGUGGGCGGAAUAGAAUCAGAGUUGAUUAUCCCCACAAGUUGUGGAGUAGCAUUGCUAACUUUUGAAGAUACAGAUCCCAGGGGAUGCCCUAGACAACCUUCACUCGCCGACAUCGAGUGGAAAACUGCAAGCACAUGACUCCGGAGCGAUCUACAGAGAAGUGCAUGCUACCGAUGCAUGGUACAGUGCUCAUGGGGAGUGCAGCGAAGACAGAAUACCAGGCCGCAUGGUUGGCAUCGAAACGCAGUGCACCGGAACGCACAAACUACCGGGGCCUAAGCCCUCAACCAAUGUCCAAAGAUGAUCCUGCCUGGACCAUAGCUCCAGCACACGAGUGCCCCAUGGUGGGGCGCCUACCCUCGCGGGGAUUUCGUGACAUUAUUCAUGAUUCGGGGAUUUUGUAGAGGCAAGGCAAACAUGGAGGAUCUAGGUAUGGUAUUUCACACAAUGGAGGUUUUACCCGGGUUCGGCCCAUGUUCCAGGGGUAACACCCUCCUCCUGCUUGAAUGUUUUCUCUCUUUUAUGAUUGGAGUGAUUACAGAGGAUUUGUCUAGCCUGUAGAGUUGAGUGAACCUAGCUGUGUCUUGCACCGUUCUCACCUUUAUAUACUACGACGAGAAGGUGGAGUUACAAGGGCUGUUAAGAGCCACAAUGUAAUAACUGCCGUAAAGGUGGUACUUACUGAUGGAAUUACCAUGUCGCAUAAGAAAUCGUCUUGAUGGCGCCGUAGUAACAUUCGUUUUGAUUGACCAUGUCUUGGUCCAGUCGGAUGGACGUUGCGGCCUCUUAGCCGGAUGGGCUUCGUGACGUGAAGUCGGAUAGGCUUUAUCGGUGCUGGCCCAAGUAAGAGAUUCUCCUGAUGAAGACUCAGCACAUCCUUUUCAUGGGCCUACCCCGAAAGGAUCCCGCGGUCAACCAGAAUCAUAUAUCACGUGGUCUAUAGCUAACUAGGAUGCCUCCCUUAAAUUUUGGGCCUUGUUCAAGAAAUUUUGGGGAAGCCACUAGGCCGUCGACAAAGGUUGUCUUUCCUUUGAUGCAGCUCACAACAUGGUGAAUAUGGAAGAAGGCAUCCAGCUGGCAAGCCCCGUGCCUAUGGGUUUAGCGGGGGGCAAAGGUCUCAAUUUUGUUUUACCGACUUAAUUUCGUGUUCUUUUCCUGUCCUUAAGGGGCUGUUAGCCUUCUUCUAGGCUCGUAGCUAUUACUACUUUAUGUCAAUGCAUCAAGACGCAAUGCUUUUAUGUGGUUUUUCGGAGGAAAAAAACAUCAAGGAAGCAAAUCUCUAGGGUAUUUAGGGUCGAUUAAGCUAGUAGUCCAACAUACUGCGAAAAUGAAUUUCCCCUUGAGUUCUUCAAACCCUUAUUUCCUAAUUUAUUCAAAAAAAAAAAUCCUUAAAUUUGUUAACAUUGAAUCACUGAAAAUGCCAAACAAUAUUCUCCUUUUAAAGAAAUAGGAACAAACAGAUGUUCAGUUCUUCCACAUAUUGCUGGACACAGAAUAUUCUGAGACUAUUGGUACUCCAGAAAACUAAAGACACAGAUCAGUUACAAAGAUGAACAUGUAAACAUAUUUUUUAUGGGAAUGAACCUGUACAUAUUAACACUACUUAUACCGUGGUGUGGUGUUUGUGUGACACGAAGGUAAAGCUAAAGUCACACUUCACACGGAUGAGAAACUAAAGAAGCCGGUUGUUCCUCUACAGAAUCAACCAAUUCCAGCACCACUUAGUCCAGAAAAAUGACAUCCUAUGAUUUCGACAAACAUCGGUACGCAAUCUUCCUCUGGCCGUUUGAGCAUAUAAUCUAGACGAUGCACAAAAUAAACCAAGAAGGGAAGCUGACCUUUCUCCCUGUACUUCUGAUAAAGCUCCGUCAGCUGCGUGUAAUUAGUCUCCGUGAACCCGCUGAUGGGAUGACAAAGAAGAAUAUUCAGUACUCCACACGCCAACAUGAAUGAAGCAAAAAUAUCCUAGGAAACUGCCACGGAGACGAGACAAAUACCAACCAUUUGGAGGCGACGUUGACGAUGAGGAGGACCUUCCCCUUGUACGUGUCCAGGCACACCUCCUUGCCGUUGCAAUCCUGCUCCCAAAAUUUCCCCCGAAUAAAUUGGAGAAGAAACCGUUCAAAAAAAAAUUGGAGAAGAAGAAAAAUGAUGCAGGGUGGCGUGAUUCCGCGAGGAGAUGAAUCACCUUAACGGUGAAUUCGUGUACGGAGGUCUCCGGCACAGAUUCGGACGCCCCCAUCUCGCCCUCUCUUCGCCUCCCGGACGGCGGAAGUCCUCCCGAAUCCUCUGUCGAAUUUUAUCGUGUUUCUUUAGGAGAGAGAAAUAGAGAGAGGAUUUCCGUGUCUUUGAUGCGCCAACUUAUUAAAUAGCGGCGGUGUGCCGGGACAGGCUGGCCGGCUGUCUCCGUCGAAGUUUCCAACCGGUCCGGCAAGCAAAUGUGAAUUGCUCUUUUGUCACGUGGGCCCUCAAUUGCAUUUAUGGGGCGGCUAAAAAGGAGGGGAAAACUGAUGCAUUGUUGUUCUUGAAGAAAAAAAUACCGUCUAGGUGUAUAAGAGUAUGUCUAGUAGAACUCUCAAACCCUCAAACCCUUAAAGCAGUUUUUAAGGGUUAAGAAGUGCCAGUUUUUGGCACUUUUAAGGGUUGAAAAACAGGGGCAAAGACUAGAACCCUCAAACCCUUAAACAGGAGUCGUUCAUACCGCCAUCGCCACGGAGUGUCACCUUAAAAAGUAGAGGACGCACCACGGAACAUCCUCUUCCUCUCUGCGAUGUCCUCCUUAUAGUCCUUCCACCAUUGCAAUUGGUCUUCAUCCAUGUCCUUCUUGGACAUCAUCAUGUGCUCCUUCUCUUCCAUCAUGAGUUCUUUCUAUACCUUUGCCUCUUUGAGCUUGAUCAUCCUCUCCUCCAAGUCGGCCUUGCGCUUUGCUUCUUCACGCUUUGCUUCAACUUGUGCAAGCUUGACCUCUUUCUUCUUCUCGGUGAUAAGAAGCUUCGUCUCCAAUGUCUUCGUUGUCAAUUCCUCUAUUGUCUUCAUCAUGUGCUCCAUCUUCUCCCUUAGGCUUGACGUCUCUCCUUCCAUCUUCGCCCUUAGCUUGCCCUUCUUGGUUCCCUCGGGCUUGCCCAAGUUCCUCUCCUCCUCAUCUUCACUAUCAUUCAUCCUAAGCAUUGCCGACUUCUUGGGUGCGGUCUCUUGAUCCCUCAACUUCCACUUGUCAAAGGUUUGAAGAAUUGCCCAAACAUGCUUAAAUGGGAAUGGCUUGCCCUUGGAAGCGGCCAUCUCCUUGUACCUCAUGCCGACAAUUGUCUCCUAUCAACCACACAUAAUCACAUAAGAACCCACCAAUAGCAUAGUACACACACAUAAUCAAAAUAGUGAAGAGAUAUGUACUCACAUAGUCACUCUCCACGGUUCCCGCUAUUCUUCGGCUUAAUUCUACAAUAGUUGUCCUCGAUCCUUUGCCAAUACCGUUUACUGGUUUCAUCGGUGCCGGUGCUUGCAUCCAUCCCACAGCUGCCCAAGCACGAACCAAGAGGAUAUCUUCCGCCUCGGUGUAGUUUGUCGACCGCGCGUGUGGGCGGGAAGCGGCGAUGAAUGCCUCCUCCCCUAUCUCGGCCACCUCCUCCUCGUCAUCCCCUUCAUCCUCCUCAUCUUCCUCCAAGUCGUCACCAACCCUAAAGGGUUCUAGAGGUGGAGCCCCGAGGUCCACCUCCGCGUUUUGGAGGAGGUCCAUGAACGAGGAUGGGGUUGCCAUUUCCUCGAACACCUCGUGCGCGGCGGGACGAGGUUCGGCGACGGCGGCGGGCGGGGCCGCGGGCUUCUUCCGCGGCUUCUUCACGGCCUGGGACGAGCCGGCGACCUUGGAGGAAGCCCCUCGCGGCCCACGGGAGCCCGCCUUCGGCCGACUCUUCUUGGGGGCGGGCGCGGUGGGGGGCGGGCGCCGGGGCGGGGACGGGGGCCGGGGCGGGAGCCGGGGAGGNNNNNNNNNNNNNNNNNNNNNNNNNNNNNNNNNNNNNNNNNNNNNNNNNNNNNNNNNNNNNNNNNNNNNNNNNNNNNNNNNNNNNNNNNNNNNNNNNNNNNNNNNNNNNNNNNNNNNNNNNNNNNNNNNNNNNNNNNNNNNNNNNNNNNNNNNNNNNNNNNNNNNNNNNNNNNNNNNNNNNNNNNNNNNNNNNNNNNNNNNNNNNNNNNNNNNNNNNNNNNNNNNNNNNNNNNNNNNNNNNNNNNNNNNNNNNNNNNNNNNNNNNNNNNNNNNNNNNNNNNNNNNNNNNNNNNNNNNNNNNNNNNNNNNNNNNNNNNNNNNNNNNNNNNNNNNNNNNNNNNNNNNNNNNNNNNNNNNNNNNNNNNNNNNNNNNNNNNNNNNNNNNNNNNNNNNNNNNNNNNNNNNNNNNNNNNNNNNNNNNNNNNNNNNNNAAGGAGGCGGCGGGAGGAGCCGGGGAUGAAAUUUCCCUCCCACGCGAGAGGAAAGAGGAGUGCGGGUUGGGGGGAGUUUUUUCUCCCAACCCUCACUUCUACAGGUUGGGAAACAGUUUGAGGGUUGGACCUCUAAUUUUUUUUACGGGUUUGAGGGUUUAGAGGUUCUAUACUACGGCUUUUUUCGGCGAAAACUGUAAAAAAGCAGUUAUUUUUAGGGGUUUGAGGGUUUGAGGGCUCUACUAGACUUGCUCUAAGUCAUCUUAUAUGUUGUGCACAACAAUCAAAGUGGAGACGCACGCCAGAAAGAAAAACACGCGUACAAGGGCUCUUUCCUGUUUUCCUCUCCUCCCUGGCGGCUGGAACCCUAGCCGCUGCCAGGGAAGGCCGAUCUUCCAACGCCGCUCUCCGGCGGCUCCCCUCUGCCGGCGACCUCGGUCAUCGGUGGUGAGGGGGGUCGCCGGGUCCACGCGUGGAUCGUUUUUACUCUCUCGUAGUCUAGGUUUUUAGGUUGUUCAUCGUCUUUGCUUCGGUGGCGACGAUGACAAUGCUAAAUAAAGAUUCUUCGAAUCCUUUUUCGACGAGGCCAUCGGUCCUAUGGUUGGUGAUGGAUUUAGAAACCAGUCUGUUCAAGCAAGGAUGGCGUGGCGGCGGUGGCAUCCUCGUGGUGGACCUGUGUCCUCGGGCUCCGCCGUUGCGACGGCGGCGCGGAGCUUGGGAGGUAGUCCAGGAGCGGAUGCAGAUUGUGGUCUGCAUCGACGACAUCUGGAAGACGGAGCAUGUGCUGGGCUCGUGGUUCGUGGAUGGCAGAUAUGGUUUCCUCCUUCGGCGUUUUAGUCGUGGUGGGUGCCAGAUCUGGAGUUCGAUGGCGUGUCCGGGGUGUUGCCCCGGUCUGAUUCGUUCAACGGUAAGGGCUUCACUUUUGGUGAGCCACCUUGGAGGUCCGCAAAGCUGCAUAUCAGCGAUGGAGCCGCAUCGAGCUCGGGUGAGGAGGUGAUUCGUUAUUCUUUUCUUCGGUGGCUGCUGUGGUGGUGCCGGAUCAGGUGAAGGGCGUUGGUGUCAAGCUCAGAGAUGUUCUGCUAUCUUUUCAGUUUUGUCAUAUCGGUCUUUACUUGACUUGUACUUUGUUCUUUAUGAUAUAAAUAAGACACAUACUACCAUGCAAAAAAAGCAAUCAAGGCGGAGAGAAAAACGAGAGAACUUAAUGUAUUUUGGCUAAUUAAUAGCAUUGCAUGCAAUAAACUAAUCAUUGCAUGUCAUGUUUGGUAUAAUCUCAAGUCAUUAAAAGCAUGCACGACCCACAUCUUUUAUUGAUUAAUAUGUCAUAAAACAAUAAAACGAGGAGGGAGUUAAUAUACUG